GAUUAACGCUGGCGGCGUGCCUAACACAUGCAAGUCGAGCGGCAGCGAGUUUUACACUGAAUUCUGGAAGCUUCUAGUUGAAAGAGAAGAUUUAUUCAAGAAUUUUGUGUAAAAUGUCGGCGAGCGGCGGACGGCUGAGUAACGCGUGGGAACGUACCCCAAAGUGAGGGAUAACGCAUCGAAAGGUGUGCUAAUACCGCAUAUGGUCUUCGGAUUAAAGCCUUCGGGCGCUUUGGGAACGGCCUGCGUAAGAUUAGAUAGUUGGUGGGGUAAUGGCCUACCAAGUCGACGAUCUUUAACUGGUGUGAGAGGAUGAUCAGUCAGACUGGAACUGAGACACGGUCCAGACUCCUACGGGAGGCAGCAGUGAGGAAUCUUCCACAAUGGGCGAAAGCCUGAUGGAGCAACGCCGCGUGCAGGAUGAAGGCCUUCGGGUUGUAAACUGCUUUUAUAAGUGAGGAUUAUGACAGUAACUUAUGAAUAAGGAUCGGCUAACUACGUG
rnacentral:rRNA from 1 species